UACAGAGGUCUCAAGCGUUGUUCGGAUUCAUUGGGCGUAAAGGGUGCGUAGGUGGCGCCAUAAGUCAGGUGUGAAAUCUCGGGGCUCAACCCUGAAACUGCACUUGAUACUGUGGUGCUCGAGUACUGGAGAGGAGAUUGGAAUUUACGGUGUAGCAGUGAAAUGCGUAGAUAUCGUAAGGAAGACCAGUGGCGAAGGCGAAUCUCUGGACAGUUACUGACACUGAGGCACGAAGGCCAGGGGAGCAAACAGG
rnacentral:rRNA from 1 species